GAAGAGGAGAGGCAGAUCCUAGACCUGCAGAGGUGAGGAAGAGGGGAGACAGAUCCUAGACCUGCAGAGGUGAGGAAGAGGGGAGACAGAUCCUAGACCUGCAGAGGUGAGGAAGAGGGGAGACAGAUCCUAGACCUGCAGAGGUGAGGAAGAGGAGAGACAGAUCCUAGACCUGCAGAGGUGAGGAAGAGGGGAGACAGAUCCUAGACCUGCAGAGGUGAGGAAGAGGAGAGACAGAUCCUAGACCUGCAGAGGUGAGGAAGAGGGGAGACAGAUCCUAGACCUGCAGAGGUGAGGAAGAGGAGACAGAUCCUAGACCUGCAGAGGUGAGGAAGAGGAGACAGAUCCUAGACCUGCAGAGGUAAAGAGCAGAUCUCUGCAGCCCAGAUCAAGAUCCUAAAGAAACACUCUGAAGCUCUUCAGGUCUCCCCCAUCUCUCCCUCCACCCCUCUCUCCCCCUCUCUCUCUGUAAUCCCCACUCUCUCUCUCUCAACCCUCUCUCUCUCUCUCUCUUCUCCUCUCUCUCUCUCUCUGUAAUCCCGCCUCUCUCUCUCUCUAAUCCUCUCUCUCUCUCUGUAAUCUCUCUCUCUCUCUAAUCCUCUCUCUCUCUCUCUAAUCCACUCUCUCUCUCUCUCUGUAAUCUCCUCUCUCUCUCCCUCUCUCUGUGUAAUCUCCUCUCUCUCUCUCUAAUCUCC
rnacentral:lncRNA from 1 species